rnacentral:rRNA from 1 species
AAACGACUCUCGGCAACGGAWAUCCCGGCUCUCUGCAUCGAUGAAGAACGUAGCGAAAUGCGAUACUUGGUGUGAAUUGCAGAAUCCCGUGAACCAUCGAGUCUUUGAACGCAAGUUGCGCCCGAAGCCAUUAGGCCGAGGGCACGUCUGCCUGGGUGUCACGC